GUUACAAGUAAACACACUCCCUUCUCUCCUGGUCGAGUUGCAUUUGUCAGGCUGCGAACUUUCUCACAUACCAAGUGGUAUUGCGAACUUGACAAGUCUUAAAGUUCUUGAUCUAUCCUCCAACUAUUUCAACUCUACCAUACCUCAAGUAAACACACUCCCUUCUCUCCUGGUCGAGUUGCAUUUGUCCUUCUGCGAACUUUAUCACAUGCCAAGUGGUAUUGCGAACUUGACAAGUCUUAAAGUUCUUGAUCUAUCCUGGAACCAAUUCAACUCUACCAUACCUCAAGUAAACACACUCCCUUCUCUCCUGGUCGAGUUGCAUUUGUCAAGAUGCGAACUUUAUCACAUACCAAGUGGUAUUGCGAACUUGACAAGUCUUAAAGUUCUUGAUCUGUCCUUGAACCAAUUCAGCGGAACCAUUACUCAUCAGUUGGGAAAUCUCUCGAGCCUGCGUUAUCUGGACCUUUCUUAUAACUAUGGUUGGAAGGUCGAGAAUCUCAAAUGGCUCUCUGGUCUUUCUCUGUUGAAACAUCUUGGCAUGAGUAAUAUAGAUCUUACCAGGGCAUCUCAUUGGUUACAAGUAAACACACUCCCUUCUCUCCUGGUCGAGUUGCAUUUGUCAAGCUGCGAACUUUAUCACAUACCAAGUGGUAUUCCGAACUUGACAAGUCUUAAAGUUCUUGAUCUACACGGUAACUAUCUCAACUCUGCCAUACCUACAUGGUUGUACAGUUUGAACCAUCUUGAGUCCCUUGAUCUUUCUUCCAAUGCUUUCCAUGGUGAAAUUUCGAGUUCCCUUGGAAACUUGACAGCCCUUGUUGAUCUUGAAUUAGGUUCUAAUCAGCUUGAAGGGGAAAUCCCAAACUCAUUGGGAAAUCUUUGUAAGUUGACUUCUUUUGAUCUAUCGUCAAACAAUUUUCGAGGGAGGGUAUCAGAAAUCUUUGAAAGUUUGUCUAGCUGUAGUUUUGGUCAAAUAUAUUCUUUACAGCUUUCAGAUAAUAAUUUUUCAGGUCAUUUAUCUGAUCAGUUGGGAAUUUUUAAAAAUUUACACCGCCUUGAUCUUUCAAAUAAUUCAAUAUCAGGUCUCAUUCCAGUGUCUUUAGGAAAUCUAUCACGCUUAGAGGAGUUGAUCAUUUCUAACAAUUUAUUCGAGGGCGUUGUCUCUGAAGCUCAUUUUACUAAUCUUACAAGAUUGGAUACCUUUUAUGCAAAUGAGAACUCCUUGACUCUUAAAACUAGCCCGGACUGGGUUCCUCCUUUUCAACUUUCUCUGUUGAGUUUAAGUUCUUGGCGCCUGGACCCAUCACAGUUGCCUGCAUGGCUUCAGAGUCAAAAACAUUUGCUCGCUCUUAAUAUGUCCAGUACAGGAAUUUCAGGUACCAUUCCGGCUUGGUUGUGGAACAUUUCUUCUGUUGAAAGCCAAGAAAUGGGAUAUGCAAGUAUCUUUGUGGAUCUCUCGCGUAAUCAAUUGUCCGGGGAGGUUCCAAAUAUAGCUUCUACCCAUUGGCAAAAACUGGAUUUUUAUUUGCAAACAGUUGACAUUUUUUUAGGAUCUAACCAAUUCAACGGUUCAUUGCCUCUUGUGUCUUCGGCAGUGUUUGUACUAGAUCUUUCCAAUUCAUCAUUUUCAGGAAGUCUCUCUCACUUUUUUUGUGAUACGAGUGAUGUACCUAAAUACCUUCGAGUUCUUCUUCUUGACAACAAUCACCUCACUGGAGAAAUUCCUGAUUGUUGGUUACACUGGCCAAACUUGACAGUAGUGAAUUUAGAAGACAACAAUUUGACAGGGAAAAUUCCAAGCUCUAUUGGAGACUUACUUCUCCUUCAGUCGUUGCACUUGCGCAAUAACAACC
rnacentral:lncRNA from 1 species